CACGUAGUUAGCCGGGGCUUUCUUCUCAGGUACCGUCACUCCCCUAGCAGUUACUCUAGAGGACGUUCUUCCCUGGCAACAGAGCUUUACGAUCCGAAAACCUUCAUCACUCACGCGGCGUUACUCCGUCAGACUUUCGUCCAUUGCGGAAGAUUCCCUACUGCUGCCUCCCGUAGGAGUCUGGGCCGUGUCUCAGUCCCAGUGUGGCCGUUCACCCUCUCAGGUCGGCUACGCAUCGUCGCCUUGGUGAGCCGUUACCUCACCAACCAGCUAAUGCGCCGCAGGCCCAUCCGUAAGUGACAGAUUGCUCCGCCUUUCCCAAAUCCCCCAUGCGAGGAAUUUGCGUAUCCGGUAUUAGCUACCGUUUCCGGUAGUUAUCCCAGUCUUACGGGCAGGUUGCCUACGUGUUACUCACCCGUCCGCCGCUAAGCUAAUCAGGAGCAAGCUCCCGAUUAACUCCGCUCGACUUGCAUGUAUUAGGCACGCCGCCCAGCGUCGUCCUGAGCCAGGAUCGAAA
rnacentral:rRNA from 1 species